CCAGACAGCCAGGAUGUUGGCUUAGAAGCAGCCAUCAUUUAAAGAAAGCGUAAUAGCUCACUGGUCGAGUCGGCCUGCGCGGAAGAUGUAACGGGGCUAAACCAUGCACCGAAGCUGCGGCAGCGACGCUUAUGCGUUGUUGGGUAGGGGAGCGUUCUGUAAGCCGUUGAAGGUGGCCUGUGAGGGCUGCUGGAGGUAUCAGAAGUGCGAAUGCUGACAUAAGUAACGAUAAAGCGGGUGAAAAGCCCGCUCGCCGGAAGACCAAGGGUUCCUGUCCAACGUUAAUCGGGGCAGGGUGAGUCGACCCCUAAGGC
rnacentral:rRNA from 1 species